AAUAUCAGAAAGGAUGCUGAUGAGAAGAAUUACAUGGAUGCAGACCCAUUUCUUAAGUUUGUGGACUACUCUCAUAGGUUAUUACCCGGCAGUGCAGCUGAGUGGAAAGAUAACCACAUUCAUUCUCCUUAUCUGCAAUGAUGUAAUGCAUCCUAGCCCUGGGUCUAGAUGAUUGGGGAAUAAUGGGAUUGUACAACUGCAGGGAUGACAAACAAUAGUGCAGCGUCUUUCUCUGAUACACUGAACCCCACGCCUCCAACGCAAGGUGAAAGGCAUCACAAAAUAGGCACUGAGUCUGCCCCUUGGAUGAAGUUAGCAUUUUUUGGCCCGAGGAGCAUCUGCUCUGGCACUGAAACAGCAAUACCGACACGGAGACGAGAGCCAUGCAAAAACACUCAGUUUCCGAGCCCCAGCCAGGACAGUGCGAGUGAGUAUCCUGCUUUUCUUUGUGGUUAGAAUCAAGUGUCAUCUAAAAAUAACCGGUUGGUAGGAAGAAGUCACUGCAUAGUACAAUGCCAAGAAACCCGGGGAUCAGAGAGUCCUCCGAUAACUGAUGCUGCUCGGGGCUCACGUUUGUUUGGAAAACUAAAUCUGCCUCCAUUUUCUGUGCCGGAAAAAUCAUCGCUUCCUGCCACCACAGAAACCUUACCUUUUGCAGAAGCUGGGAACCGGAGUACUUAGCAGCAAUGGAUUUUAUCUCCCCACCAAAAGCCGAGGCCCAGAGCUUCACCCUACAGGGAGAAGGGGCACAGGAAGAUAUGUAACACCCGUGUCACAGUCAACACGCACGCACACGCACACGCACACAUGGGACUAUGGCUGAAGGAGCAGUGCGAUGUAACAUGUUUUAAAAGAAGAAAAGAUAGAAAAAGCGGCUUGGUAGAAACUGCCAGCACCAAAACUGCAAAGCGCAGCGCGGGAGGGGGCCCGAGGGGGGUCGCGGAGUUAAGAAUGCGCAAAGUCUCCCAGGCUCUCUAAAAAGACCACUGAGUUUCAUUCGAACCACUGCCCGAGGACUCGACCCCCCAAACUGGGCAUCACCUGGCAAAUAGCAGUCAGAAGAAAUCCACCCAUCCCCCCCCCAAAAAAAGAAGUGGGGCGGCAGUAGAGCAAAGAGGGGGGAAAUUCAGCGGCCCAUGGAAGUUGGAUUCGGUAACCAGGCUCCAAAGUUGGUGCCGUCACUUGAGGCAUCCAUAAGGAAGCCCAUUGACCUAAUUGCUGCCAUCAACCCAGGGACAAAGCCAAUCGGGUGGACAGCGGAGAGGCAAUAUGGGAAGGACCUUGGUCCUUGAAGAUAUUGUGCCACUAUAUCAAGCAACCGCUGAAGCCUGAAUUACCUCUGGAUGCCUAAUAACGUGGAACAAUAAAUUUCCUUAUUGUUUAAUUUGAGUCAGGAUUUAUGAUACUUGCUUCCAAUAGCAUCCCAUAGGGCACGUCCUUGUGGGUAAGGGUUGUUGUUGCUUUUAUUCCAAGAAGAACAGUCUUCUGAAAUUUGGGAGGAAGUUGCAUAAUUCUAAGAAAAAGGUUAUAAAACAGGGCCUGGUACAUUCCUCAUCACCACCACCACCCAAAAAAUGUUAAAUGAAAAAUGUAGAAAAUGAAAUUCCCUGCAUAUGAUCCCAACUGUACACACACACACACACACACACACACACACACACACAUACACACACACACAUUUUUAAAAAGACUGGUAAGAAAAACACUAAGUUAAGUGAUUGCUCUUAGGUAGUAAGAUUAUUACUAGUUAUUAUUUUUUAACCUCUGCUUUAUUUGGUUUGGUUCUUUAUAUUCUUCAGUACUUCCUGAUUUUCCUACAGUGAACAUGCUUUACUUUUUUAAUAGAUAUCAAAGACAAUAAUUGUUUUCUAUCUAAAUUUAUACUACCUAUCACAAAGGAAGUCACUUUGACUUUUUAAAAACAUAAUGGCCAAAUGAAAGCAAAAAAGUAGCAUAUUUGGUGCAAUCUAUUGGUGAAAGAAAAACAUUUCCAGUUUUUAUGUACUGUAUCCAGAGACUUAAAGAUUUAUGAUUGGUCAUGUAGUAGAAUAAAA
ensembl:lncRNA novel transcript, antisense to CACNA2D3